AACCCACGGCGGCGCUGCUGGACUUCGGUGGUGUUUUCUGGCCAAUUGGUCGGUGGUUUGGCUCCGAUUUGGCCACAGGGAGGUUCAGCAUUGAAAGACGAGCCAAGGGGAGAAAUUUUACCUCCUUUGGCAGCCGAAAAGUGCUCUGGUGCGACGGCAGGUGGCGGCAGUCAGUUCCUUCGGUGGCUGGGUUGUCUUCUCCGGCGAGGGUUCUGGCAGGUAGAGUUUGGGGUUGGGUGUGGAUGAGAUUGUUUAUAACCUUCCCUUUUUAAUCUGAACCGUCCAUCACGAUUUAAUCUGGGCCGUUCGAUCGCGAUUAAAUUAGAAAUAAAUCUGGACCGUCCAUCGCGAUACGAUCUGGGUCGUCCGUGCGUGAUCAAAUCUGGGCAGUACGCACGCGUGAGAUUUGGGCCAUCCAUGCGUGCUUUUGAUCUGGGCCGUCUGUGCGCGCGGGAACAGAUCUGGGCCGUCCAAUCACGCGUACGCGGAUCGCCCACAUGUCUCUGUCCCGCGUGGCUUCUCGCGUCAGCGUCCGUGCCACGCGGCGUGUCCUGGUUGGCCGGGGCUGUUGACGUGGCUGCUGACGUAGUGUAAUUUUUCUAAAUUGCGUUUUGAUCUUUG
rnacentral:lncRNA from 1 species